UGAAGAAGUAAUGCCUGCCUCGGACGGGU
rnacentral:sRNA from 1 species